CACAGUGUUAUGCAGUGACCCAACCGUCCUUGCCAAUAAACAUACAGUGGUUCCUAACCACCACUUCCUCUCACCUCCCCCCUCGUCAUAAAUCAUCUCUUUCCAAUGCCCGCCAUCAGCCGACCUUAUCCACGCUCGAUGGGCACGACACCUCAGGCAACCUAAUGUUAACCGUUUGAAGCAAGGGAGGUUGAGACCUGCAAACAUAAUGAACUUACUCCAUCC
rnacentral:lncRNA from 1 species